rnacentral:rRNA from 1 species
CCCUUAGAUGUUCUGGGCCGCACGCGCGCUACACUGACGAAUGCAACGAGCUUAUAACCUUGGCCGAAAGGUCUGGGUAAUCUCCAAAUUUCGUCGUGAUGGGGAUAGAUUAUUGCAAUUAUUAAUCUUCAACGAGGAAUGCCUAGUAAGCGCAAGUCAUCAGCUUGCGUUGAUUACGUCCCUGCCCUUUGUACACACCGCCCGUCGCUCCUACCGAUUGAAUGGUCCGGUGAAGCGCUCGGACCGCGGCCUCUUGACGGUUUUCCGACGAUUGGCUGUGGGAAGUUCGUUAAACCUUAUCAUUUAGAGGAAGGAGAAGUCGUAACA